AUCAAAGCCCAGAGAACCCAGCCCCAUCUGACACUCUUGCAAUAGAAUAAAAUGAGAAAACGACGAUGAUAACGUAUGAUAUACCACUAGGAGCUGGCAUGGAUGUGGGCUGCAUAUAAAAAGAACAACAUCUCAUGAAAUGGUAGCUGAUGAUUAGCAACACAAAAACUCAGCCUGCCAUUUUAAUCAGAGUCCUCACUACAAGUCUGCUCCCCUGGAGAUGUCCCACUGCCAUGAGCCUCCUGCCAGCUGAGCAGUGCUAAUGUCUGCACUGAGGAACAGGUUCAGGAAGAGUGACAAGAGGAAGGAGCACAGGAAGGUCUGGACUUGCCUCCUCUGUCCCCAGGGAGUUUCAGGCAGUAGGUGGGCUGAGUGCUGGACUGCAAAGAAAGCCUUGGGAUAUUUGGAUCCUCCUGGGAUUGCCCCAGGUGAUUAGGUCCUGGUGAAUUUUGGAGAGCUGCAUCCAAGUUUGCAGGAGACGGGGAGACGGCUGUUUCAUCUGGCUGCCACUUGCAGAAACCACACUGCUGCAGGUUUGACAUUAGCAGCGAAAUGAGGUGAUUUUCCCCUUGCUGAAGUUCAGAGUGCUCUUGAGGUUCCCGUGGUAAACAUGUGCCAUGCUGACACCAGUGCCAGGGGACAGAGGAAUUGCUGAAUACAACAUACAGAACACCUUGAAUUGUCCUCUUCAUCCCUCCUACAGAAAAACUGCCAAGAGUGCAAUGACUUGGUGAGCUCCUGGAGAAGACUUUUGCAGUGAGCAGGACUGUCCCUGAAGCAAAAGGAAGCUGGGAGAGCUUGGCUCUUCCCAAAGAAGAGAACUUUGAUCCUUCUCCUUGACUGGACUGCAAAACAGCAUUGCACCAUCAUUUCUAAUGGCUCAUGAACUCUGUGAGCACACCUUCUCAUCCUGGCCGUGGUACCCCUGUGCUGUGGUGAUGUGCUGUUGCACUUGUGCCUGCCUGAAGGAUGUACACUGCCCCCAGCUUUGAGGUGUGUCUCAGCACAGAAUCAUUGUGAAAGGCACACUGUUUCUCCUGAUAUAAGAGCCAUGAAGCCAGCCAAAAUGACAUUCUUUAAAGCCAAGUGGAAAGAAAAUGGCUUUGAAGCACAGGAAGACAUGAACAUUCAGUGUUUCCUUCCGCCCCUGUGGCUUUCACUGAGGCACUCCCAAUGAUUUCUAAGAUUCUGAGUUUGGCUAUACUACAACCAAGGAGCACCCCAAUCUCACAGUGAGAAGGUGCUUUGGGAGAACUGCAGAACAGGAAAAGGAAAUCACACAGGCACCAGCAAUUAUGAAGGUUCAAUGUAUUUAAAUGAUUUGAUUUGAUGCAGGAACUGGGAGGAAAUAUAACAGAAAGUAGAGAAGAAAACAAGCAAGUUUUUCUUUUAAAGCCAUUGUGAUUUAAUUGACAGGGCUACUGGCUGCAAUAAUGUGGUGCAUGUGCUGCUGUUACCAAGGGCUGUUAUGCUAUGAGCACGACAAAAAACACUGCAAAAAGAGGCUCAAUGGCAUAAACCUGGUCAAAUGAGGAAAACAAAAUCAACCCCUUAAUUGUGCAGUUUUGGGCAGGAAAAUUGCAUUCCAUUGUUUGGGUUUUUUAAAGGUGAUUUGGAUGAAAAACACUAGGUUGUGUCUUUGGGGUGUUUUCCUUCUUUGUAGCAUUUUAAAGUUACUUAAAUAAUUUUACAUUUCCACCCCCCAGGUUUUACUAUAUAUUAAAC